rnacentral:lncRNA from 1 species
UUUGCAUUAUUUUCUGGGCCUUGAAAUGUCAGUUGUUCCUGGUGGAAUGAUCCUUAAUCAGCAUAAAUAUAUUUCUGACUGACUGCAUCAGUUUGAUUGUGCAAAUGUCUCCUCUGUUAUUUCUCCUUUGGACAUUAAUGUCAAACUUCAUGCUGAUUUUGGUGACCUUUUAUCCUCUCUUGACCAGUACAGGAGUCUUGUUGGUAAGAUGUUGUUUCUGACUCAAACUAGGCCUGACAUAUGCUUUGCUAUUCAACAUCUGAGUCAAUUCCUAAUAUGCCCCAGACUUCCACAUAUGACUGCUGCCCUGCAUGUUUUGAGAUACCUUAAAGGCACUCCUCUGAGUCAAUUCCUCAAUGCCCCAGACUUCCACAUAUGACUGCUGCCCUGUAUGUUUUGAGAUACAUUAAAGGCACUCCUUCUAUGGGUCUAUUUUAUUCUGCCUGUGAUGAUUUCUCUAUUGCUGGUUAUUCUGAUAGUGACUGGGCUGCCUACCCUGAUACUAGGAGAUCUAUCACUGGAUUUUGUGUGCUUUUAGGUGGUUGCCUGAUUAGUUGGAAAUCUAAGAAGCAACCUGUUGUUUCUUUGUCUUCUGGUGAGGCAGAAUAUAGAGCCCUCAGCAAAGUUGUUGCUGAAUUAUCUUAGCUUUCUCGUUUAUUGGUUGAUCUUGGGGUAUCUGUUUAUCUUCCUUUUUCUAUAUAUUGUGACAGUCAGGCUGCUGUCCAUAUAGCUAACAAUCCCGUUUUUCAUGAGCGUACCAAACACAUCGAGGUGGACUGCCAUUUUGUUCGGGACCUGCUACAGAGCAAUCCUGUUUUUCAUGAACGUACCAAACACAUCGAGGUGGACUGCCAUUUUGUUUGGGACUUGCUAUAGAAUGGUUUUCUCAAGCUGCUUCAUGUUACUACUUCUCUUCAGCUGGCUGACCUGCUCACUAAGCCAUUGCCUGGCACUGUGCUUCAUCCACUGUUAUCCAAGUUGCAGGUGGUUUCCCCCUCCAACUUGAGGGGGGUGUUGAGAUGAAAGACUACAAGUGAUUGUAUACACCGUAUAUAAAUUGUAUUUUCUGGUAUAUAUUGUGUAUGUGGGAGUUGGGCUGUGAUGAUUUGAAGAUUGUGUUAUAAAUAAUCUGAGCCCGUUUCAUUUUUGUUCUUGGGCCGGUGGACCCGACCCAAGAGUGAGUGUAUAUAUGUAGCCUAUACAGAUAUUUUAUAUCAGG